rnacentral:lncRNA from 1 species
UCCCAUAAGACCUUCCCCAGAUUCGACAUCCUUGGCUCCUACGAACAGCUUCCCCAACUCGCAAAGUCCCAGCAACAGGUAUGCUCUGGCGAGAUAUCCACUUUCAACCCCUUUAACCUCUUGGCAAUCUUCAACCCUUUUGAGAAACUUUCUUUCUAGUUCCACUAUGCCUCACUCCAAGUAUCCCAGUCUUUUGUUGGCAUUGGUAGCCAUGUCUUUCCAUUUCUUGAUCAUCUUCUGGUUGGACUCUUGUACUUCGCGAUGUUCACUAUUGCACUCGCGAAUCCCUUUUGUGCAACUGAUUGCACUUUAAUUAUUCUUUGACCUUCUCUUCCAUAAUCCUGUGGCCUCAAACAAACCCCGGCUGGCCCAAACCAUCAUGACUGUCUUCCAACCAACCUGAAUAGAAAGGAGUACAAUCGGCAUGGUAUCUGUCUAGCUCUAUGGAGUCUCUUCCCAUUAAGAUCUUGCUAUGCCACAUAUGUUGGGCUUGGCACUUGUAAGGACUAUCAUCGCCUUGGAAGUCGGCUAAAAAAGUAGCUCAUCUUGUUGACUCUGGGUAUGAGUUGCUUCCUACCAGCUUGCCUCAUAGCUCGUAGAGGGAUGUAAGGGUAGGUUCCGCUGAGACCAAUUAGUAUCAGAAUAGGUACAUCUCUGGAUCGAGCGAUGGACUCUUAUGUCGGAAACCAUUCGAACAUCCACUAAACUUGUUCCUCGG